GAGACACAUUGCUGCUUGAAUGGAAGGACUGACAGAGAAGCGUCACUCUUUGCAAAUUUGCACAUGGUGGCUGGGCGCCCAUGUUUACGCAAGCUUCACAGGAACGCAUACAUCAAUGACACACUCAGUCAAUGACGCAAACACACACACUCACACACACACACACACACACACACACACACACACACACACACACACACACACACACACACGCUUUCCUCACACUUCCUAUGGGUAGCGUUUCAACACAAAACAAACCAAAAAGAGCGCUCAUCGAUGGCGUCAUUUGGACGAAGGUGUCAUUUUGAAAAUGAAAAUGCAUCCUGGAAACAGCCCCCAUGAAAAAACGGAGAAACGGCACCCCGCCGACUUUUUUCAGAACUUAUUCAUUCCGCGUCCACGCUCGUAACUUUGAACUCCGAUUCAAGCAAAUUAAUGUGGCAGAUGAGCAAGGCAACUGGGGGUUACUAUGGCAACGCCUCUCGGCAUUCCCUGCCGCCCGGUCUCCAUGGCGAUGGCAUCUCGGUAACGUAGUUUUCAAAGUAAUGCAAUUUCUAAGUAACAAGGUUGUCACGUUUGGAACCCUAAGGCAGGUUUGAAAGCUUAAUUUCAAACCUUAACCCUAUCGGCACAUCACAAUUUUAAACCCUAAACUUGAAAACAGGAUUCAAAACCAGAACUCAGUCUAACAACAACAACAACAACACCAUCGGACUUCAUCAGGGCGGAAAACUGGAUGGUCAAUCAUCAGAACUGAACCCAAUCGAGCCAACAUUUUACCUCCUGAAGAAAGAGACUGAACGGAGAAACCCACAGAAACAAAA